CAGGGAUACAAUAACUAAUUGUGAUGUCUGAGUAAUUUAUUCUCAGGCCAUGAUUCUGUCAUCUCUAAGGUCGAUCGGUACCUCAAUUUGAGCGUUCAAGAAGAGCUGAGUAAUCAGUUUGGAGAUGAACUUCUUAAUUUCAGUUCCUAAACUUUGUCUAGGUCACCCCACAGCGGGUAAAGCCGAGAGCAUGAGUUUUAUUAUUUGUGUUUGAUCUGGCAAGUCGAAAGGCGAGCUAGGUUGCGGCGAGAGCUCCUGGGCCGUUAGCUCAGUUGGUUAGAGCGCACCCCUGAUAAGGGUGAGGUCCCUGGUUCAAGUCCAGGAUGGCCCAUUCGUGUUUGGGGGUUUAGCUCAGUUGGUAGAGCGCCUGCUUUGCAAGCAGGAUGUCAGCGAUUCGAGUCCGCUAACCUCCAUCCAAUGAUGAUGCUCAUCCCUCAAUCUGUAACUGCAAGUUUUGCGGUAAGGAGUUUAGCUGUGAAUGUGAUCUUGACUGUUGUUCGCUGAAGAUUUCAGCUUCUUUUCAUUCUUGACGAGUUAACCAGAUGCCUGGUUGGUUAGUUUGGUUGAAAAGACGCUGGAUUCAAAGAUGCCCUGGAGACAGGGCUGUUUGAAUGUCAGCAGAACCUUGACAACUGCAUAGGUAAAGUCUGGAAAUAAAGCAUCUCAUGGAUGCUUGAUUCUAGCUUGAGUUUCAUCCAGUAAUGGAUAGGGCUUAAGGUUAGUAUCAAGAAAAUUCUAUUGAGUUUUUAGAGCCGAGAGCUUCCAGUUUUCUUCUAAGCCCGCCGAGGGUUUGGGAGUUUGAUCCUGGCAUUCAAACCGCAACCAAGAGUCUGAGCAAUCAGGUUUGAAAUUGUAGGUGAAUCCAGAGAGAAUCGGUCUCAACAGCCGCAAGCGGAUCGCAAGAUCGCAGCUGAUAAGAACUGGGAGUUGAAAUU
rnacentral:tRNA from 1 species